GGGCUUGACUGGAUUUGACAGCAAGAGAUGUGGUAUGUAAGCAUGCAGUGCGUCAGUGAUUUGCACUAUAAUCUCAGUUACUGAACAAUUAUCUGGCAACGAAAACUAUGCUCUCGCUGCUUAAUCGAAGUACAGUAGAUUAACUUUAUUUCCGUCACAGUGACGGAAACGAGACAUCGCUCAAAAGCUCUUGUUCCGAGGCGUUUGAUCAAGCGGUGCAGCAAAAUCGGGAAUAGUUCCAGUCUAGCCUUGCGGCUGGAAUGAAAUUUUAAAGGCUAAGGCGCAAGUGGGUGGCUCUGGUCUUGCUUACGCACGAAAACCGGAGGCAGAGAUAAGCAUGUAGAAAGCAUAUGGCUUCCUUGUUUGGACGAGGGUUCGAUUCCCUCCAGGUCCACUG
rfam:Bacteroides salanitronis DSM 18170, complete genome.